rnacentral:rRNA from 1 species
UCAACCUGGUUGAUCCUGCCAGUAGUCAUAUGCUUGUCUCAAGGACUAAGCCAUGCAUGUCAAAGUUUAAGCUCUUGAAUGGCGAAACUGCGAAUGGCUCAUUAAAACAGUUAUGGUUUACUUGAUGUUUACCUUUACUGGUUACUUGGAUAACCGUAGUAAUUCUAGUGCUAAUACAUGCAUCAAAGACCCGA